GAUCAUGGCUCAGGAUGAACGCUAGCUACAGGCUUAACACAUGCAAGUCGAACGAAGCACUUUAUUUGAUUUCUUCGGAAUGAAGAUUUUGUGACUGAGUGGCGGACGGGUGAGUAACGCGUGGGUAACCUGCCUCAUACAGGGGGAUAACAGUUGGAAACGACUGCUAAUACCGCAUAAGCGCACAGGGUCGCAUGACCUGGUGUGAAAAACUCCGGUGGUAUGAGAUGGACCCGCG
rnacentral:rRNA from 1 species